rnacentral:misc_RNA from 1 species
UCCGGCUUAACGCCGGCAGUCCCGUCAGAGUGCCCAAAUAAAUGGUUACAACUGACAGCGAGAGUUGCGCUCGUUAUAGGACUUAACCCAACAUCUCACGACACGAGCUGACGACAGCCAUGCAGCACCUGUGUAAGCUCCCCUUGCGGGGUCGUCAUCCUUUCAGACUUCUACCACCUACAUGUCAAGACCAGGUAAGGUUCUUCGCGUUGCAUCGAAUUAAGCCACAUACUCCACCGCUUGUGCAGGCCCCCGUCAAUUUCUUUGAGUUUUAAUCUUGCGACCGUACUCCCCAGGCGGCUCACUUAUCGCGUUAGCUUCGCCACAGACGGGGUCGAUUCCGUCUACAGCAAGUGAGCACCGUUUACAGCCAGGACUAC